rnacentral:rRNA from 1 species
GGCUAAUUGACUCAACGCGCAACAAUUUACUUGGUCCGAACGCUUUGGGGACACAGUUAUUGUAUAGUUCUGAUAUGAGAGGUCUUUGUAGUCAACGUGUAGGUAGUUGUAUAUUAAAUAUGAAAGUUCUUUUAUGAUUAUGUGAUAGGUGGUGCAUGGCCGUCCUUAAUUCGUGGAGUGAUUUGUCUGCUUAAUUGCGCAUUGCAAAUUGUAAUUGAUCUUUUACCAGUCUCGUUCCGAUUGAUGUUGUGAAUAUUGUAAAUAUUGUUGUCGUCGAGUCAUAAUUGCCACUACGUCUGGUCCUUCGGGCAGAAUAGUCCUUAUGCUUGUGUACACAAAAUUCUCCACAAUGUUGUAGCCAUACUUGAUUGUAUGCGCUAUUAAUGUCUACGUGUGACACAUUCGUGGUUCAAGACCAGUUCGGCUGCUUGCACACAUUGUCAUCUCAACAUGAUUGGUCAGGCUGCUAGAGACCUUGUGUCUUGCCCCAAAGGUUGAUUAACACCGUGAGUGCAACGAGUGAGAUUGCAAGUCUUUGUUAUGUAGUGAACAACAUAUACCUACUACUUUAGUAGGAUUCCAACUACACAGUAUAACCAUUAAGGUGAAAUGAACUCAGGCGACUGCUAUACUUUAAGAUGGUGGAAGGUUGUGGCAUAACAGGUCUGUGAUGC